rnacentral:tRNA from 1 species
UACUAAGAAGCUAAAUAGUUCACAGCGUUAGCCUUUUAAGCUAGAGACUGGUGAUUAACAACCACCCUUAGUAA